rnacentral:RNase_P_RNA from 1 species
UUGUCGCGGGCUGGCGCAAGUCAGCGUGAGGAAAGUCGGGACAGCACAGAGCACCAUACUUCCUAACGGGAAGGCGUUGGAGACAACGACAGCAAGUGCCACAGAAAAUUACCGCCCGCAAGGGUAAGGGUGAAAACGCGAGGUAAGAGCUCACGCAUUGCCAUGGUGACACGGCAGUGAGGUAAACCUUAUGGGCUGCAAGACCAAAUAUACCGGCGAUUGAGGGUCGCUCGCCCGAGCCGGGAGGGUAGGUUGCUAAAGACAAGCGGUGACGCUUGCCUUAGAGAAAUGACAAUCAUUCCGCAAGGAAUACAGAAUCCCGCUUAUGCCUUUCCU